rnacentral:rRNA from 1 species
AGCGAGAAAGUUUCCUUCGGGAGACGAGUAAAGCGGCGGACGGGUGCGUAACACGUGGAUGACCUGCCCGAGAGUGGGGAAUAACUUGGGGAAACUCGAGCUAAUACCGCAUACGCUCACAUGGCUGCGGCCGUGUGAGGAAAGUUGGCCUCUGUUUACAAGCUGACGCUCACGGAGGGGUCCGCGCCUGAUUAGCUAGUUGGUGGGGUAAUGGCCUACCAGGGCGACGAUCAGUAGCCGGCCUGAGAGGGCGAUCGGCCACACUGGGACUGAGACACGGCCCAGACUCCUACGGGAGGCAGCAGUGGGGAAUAUUGGACAAUGGGGGCAACCCUGAUCCAGCAACGCCGCGUGGAGGAUGAAGGCCUUCGGGUCGUAAACUCCUGUCAGUAGGGACGAAAAGCUCCUGGUCAACAGCCUUGAGUCAUGACGGUACCUGCAGAGGAAGCCCCGGCUAACUCCGUGCCAGCAGCCGCGGUAAUACGGGGGGGGCAAGCGUUAUUCGGAAUUACUGGGCGUAAAGAGCGCGUAGGCGGCUUGGUAAGUGAAAGGUGAAAUCCCUCGGCUCAACCGAGGAACUGCCUUUCAAACUGCCAGGCUUGAGUCUGGGAGGGGAUAGUGGAACUCCCGGU